GGCUCAAUGGUCUAGUGGUAUGAUUCGUGCUUCGGGUUCUCACCCAGAGUUGAAAACAGCUCAUGUGCGAGGUCUCGGGUUCGAUCCCCGAUUGAGCCC
rnacentral:tRNA from 1 species